UCGCUUCAGCAGCACAUAUACUAGAGUUGAAACGAUACAGAGCAGAUUAGCAUGGCCCCUGUGCAAGGAUGACACGCAAAUUUGUGAAGUGCCCUAUAUUUCC